rnacentral:rRNA from 1 species
GACGAACGCUGGCGGCGUGCCUAAUACAUGCAAGUUGAGCGCUGAAGGUUGGUGCUUGUACCAACUGGAUGAGCAGCGAACGGGUGAGUAACGCGUGGGGAAUCUGCCUUUGAGCGGGGGACAACAUUUGGAAACGAAUGCUAAUACCGCAUAAAAACUUUAAACACAAGUUUUAAGUUUGAAAGAUGCAAUUGCAUCACUCAAAGAUGAUCCCGCGUUGUAUUAGCUAGUCGGUGAGGUAAAGGCUCACCAAGGCGAUGAUACAUAGCCGACCUGAGAGGGUGAUCGGCCACAUUGGGACUGAGACACGGCCCAAACUCCUACGGGAGGCAGCAGUAGGGAAUCUUCGGCAAUGGACGAAAGUCUGACCGAGCAACGCCGCGUGAGUGAAGAAGGUUUUCGGAUCGUAAAACUCUGUUGGUAGAGAAGAACGUUGGUGAGAGUGGAAAGCUCAUCAAGUGACGGUAACUACCCAGAAAGGGACGGCUAACUACGUG